rnacentral:rRNA from 1 species
AAAUUGAAGAGUUUGAUCAUGGCUCAGAUUGAACGCUGGCGGCAGGCCUAACACAUGCAAGUCGAGCGGUAGCACAGAGAGCUUGCUCUCGGGUGACGAGCGGCGGACGGGUGAGUAAUGUCUGGGAAACUGCCUGAUGGAGGGGGAUAACUACUGGAAACGGUAGCUAAUACCGCAUAACGUCGCAAGACCAAAGUGGGGGACCUUCGGGCCUCAUGCCAUCAGAUGUGCCCAGAUGGGAUUAGCUAGUAGGUGGGGUAAUGGCUCACCUAGGCGACGAUCCCUAGCUGGUCUGAGAGGAUGACCAGCCACACUGGAACUGAGACACGGUCCAGACUCCUACGGGAGGCAGCAGUGGGGAAUAUUGCACAAUGGGCGCAAGCCUGAUGCAGCCAUGCCGCGUGUGUGAAGAAGGCCUUCGGGUUGUAAAGCACUUUCAGCGGGGAGGAAGGCGUUAAGGUUAAUAACCU